rnacentral:rRNA from 1 species
AUGUCAGAGGGAGACAGGCUCUACAGGACGUCGUCGGGGAUAGAGAUAACAGCUGAUUGCUGCUUCUCGUGCCUCGACAGACCACUGAGUUCAUCAUGGAUUAGAGGUUCUGAGCUGAAAGAUUGCUUGGACAAUGAUGGAAGAUUGAUGGUUGAUGUAAAUCUAAGAGUGAAAGGCCAGCUUAAUAUUUUUGCCGCUGGUGAUAUCAUUGACAUUCCGGAGCUCGAGCAAGGAUAUUUCGUGCAGAGGCAUGCCAUGAUGGUCCCCAAAAACAUAAAGCUUUUGAUGCAUGGGGAUAAAGACAGCAAGCUAUUGAAAUAUAAACAUUCGACAACAAUGUUGUGUCACUUGGUAAGAAGGAUGCCGUGGCACAACUAUCCUUCGCCACGGUCCUAG